AUCUGCUGUGGCACAAUGGGUCAUUGGGUCUGGCUGUUAACCAGAAGGUUGGUGGUUCAAGCCCACCCUGGGAUG
rnacentral:tRNA from 1 species